rnacentral:ribozyme from 16 species
UCGGACUCAACCAUCGCGAGGAAGGUCUUCCCUCCAUGAAUAGCUGAGGCGGGGGGGGGAGAGAGG